GGUUAAGCGACUAAGCGUACACGGUGGAUGCCUUGGCAGUCAGAGGCGAUGAAGGACGUGCUAAUCUGCGAUAAGCGUCGGUGAGGUGAUAUGAACCGUUAUAACCGGCGAUUUCCGAAUGGGGAAACCCAGUGUGUUUCGACACACUAUCAUUAACUGA
rnacentral:rRNA from 1 species